AUAAAUGUUUUUUCUUCUUUACCUCUUCACACUGUCUUCUUUCUCUUCAUGAACACAGACACGAAUUCUCUCUAGUUUCUCCAGGGGGUGAUAACAGCAAGGCUCCUUCCCUCUGGAAACAUAUACAAUUUUGCUGGAGUAAUAAAAACACCAAAAAGAAGAACCAGCAGCAGACGCAGCUGUGCUACUGAAUGGUCAGAGAACACAGGAAGAGUGUGUCAGAAGCUUGAAGAAGAAGCAAAAUAUUUAACUUAGAAGCAAUUAGACAUGAAUGGACCACUUGCUCAAAUUUGGGAACUUUGCAACUUUGAACUUUGCUUUUGGGGGCAAGAGUGAAUCGCAUAUUCAAGGAAUCUGGGUGACUUCUUCACAGCUCUGAACACUGUUUAAGAGAUGAGAUGUCUGUGCCAAGAACAUGUUGUAAUCUCAGCAGCAUGAAGUGAACAUGAAGUGGAGGAGAACAAGUGAUCACAUCAACUCAGAACUGAUGCUUCUUAGAUUUGACAAUUGCAUCUUACACUGUGAUACUGCAGGUCAUUCAUUUGACAAGAGGCCUAAUCACAUUGCUCCUGUGAAGGUUUGUUCAUAUCUAUGUAUUUUUUCAUUAGAAUAGCUCCUAAGCCAUUUUUCAGGCAGUUAGCUCACAAUACUUUGGUACAGGUUAUUAUUC
rnacentral:lncRNA from 1 species